AAUUUGAUUUUUAGUAUAAUUUUUUUGUCAAAAGUCAAAGUCUAUUUCACCUUGGCUUUUGCUUUCAACUUUCAAGUCUCUCACCAUCUCACACACGCAUCUUCUAACUUUCUAUAAACUUUUCAUCAUUCAGGUUUCAAAAAACUUCAUCACUUAGUGCCUCAAUCGAUAACGUCAAUAGCCAGUGGACUCCUUCUCCCUUUCAAGAUCGAGCAGUUCCUCUGUUCCACUCCGAUGAUGAAUCAUUUAUGCUUUCGGUUCUAGGCCACUUCUAUUUGUCUAGCAUUCACGUUUGGAGGUGACAAGUUCAACAACAACGAUAGAAGACAUAUUAGACCUAGUUCAACCAAAAAGAAUCAGGGUAAAGCUCCCAAAAGAAUUCACAAGGCUGAGAGGGAGAAAAUGAAGCACAGAAGCAUUUGAAUGAACUUUUUCUUGACCUGGACAGUGUUCUUGAUAAAUUAUUUGUAUUUAAAAAGAUAAUAAAUUGGAAGUAUUAUUAAAGAUUCAUGAUUAAGUUGGGGAUGUGAAUACAUGAUUUUCAUUAUACAUACAAUGGUUUUUAAAGCUCAUAAAUGUAGAAAUGUUCAUUUAUAUUAAGUAUCAAUUAUGUUUUAUGGCUUUUGGCACCAAUAUUGUAAGUUGUAAUGCCAAUUCACCUUGGUGUUCUUGUGCAUAAAUAGUUAUGGAACCACGGGAGCUCAUGUAAUUGUUUUGACCAUUUUACUUAUUUUUGACUUGGAAAGAAGUUAACAGAACAAAUGCAAACUAAUAGUUUCCAUGCA